rnacentral:rRNA from 1 species
CCUACGGGGGGCAGUAGUGAGGAAUAUUGGUCAAUGGACGAGAGUCUGAACCAGCCAAGUAGCGUGAAGGAUGACUGCCCUAUGGGUUGUAAACUUCUUUUAUAUGGGAAUAAAAUGUUCCACGUGUGGGAUUUUGUAUGUACCAUAUGAAUAAGGAUCGGCUAACUCCGUGCCAGCAGCCGCGGUACUACGGAGGAUCCGAGCGUUAUCUGGAUUUAUUGGGUUUAAAGGGAGCGUAGGUGGUUUGUUAAGUCAGUUGUGAAAGUUUGCGGCUCAACCGUAAAAUUGCAGUUGAAACUGGCAGUCUUGAGUACAGUAGAGGUGGGCGGAAUUCGUGGUGUAGCGGUGAAAUGCUUAGAUAUCACGAAGAACUCCGAUUGCGAAGGCAGUUCACUGGACUGCAACUGACACUGAGGCUCGAAAGUGUGGGUAUCAAACAGGAUUAGAUACCCUGGUAGUC